rnacentral:rRNA from 2 species
GUUGGGUAGGGGAGCGUUCUGUAAGCCUGCGAAGGUGUCCCGUGAGGGAUGCUGGAGGUAUCAGAAGUGCGAAUGCUGACAUAAGUAACGAUAAAGCGGGUGAAAAGCCCGCUCGCCGGAAGACCAAGGGUUCCUGUCCAACGUUAAUCGGGGCAGGGUGAGUCGACCCCUAAGGCGAGGCCGAAAGGCGUAGUCGAUGGGAAACGGGUUAAUAUUCCCGUACUUGGUGUUACUGCGAAGGGGGGACGGAGAAGGCUAUGUUGGCCGGGCGACGGUUGUCCCGGUUUAAGCGUGUAGGUGUGUGUUCCAGGUAAAUCCGGUUCACUUUAACACUGAGGCGUGACGACGAGGCACUACGGUGCUGAAGCAACAAAUGCCCUGCUUCCAGGAAAAGCCUCUAAGCAUCAGGUAACAUCAAAUCGUACCCCAAACCGACACAGGUGGUCAGGUAGAGAAUACCAAGGCGCUUGAGAGAACUCGGGUGAAGGAACUAGGCAAAAUGGUGCCGUAACUUCGGGAGAAGGCACGCUGACACGUAGGUGAAGUGAUUUACUCAUGGAGCUGAAGUCAGUCGAAGAUACCAGCUGGCUGCAACUGUUUAUUAAAAACACAGCACUGUGCAAACACGAAAGUGGACGUAUACGGUGUGACGCCUGCCCGGUGCCGGAAGGUUAAUUGAUGGGGUCAGCGCAAGCGAAGCUCCUGAUCGAAGCCCCGGUAAACGGCGGCCGUAACUAUAACGGUCCUAAGGUAGCGAAAUUCCUUGUCGGGUAAGUUCCGACCUGCACGAAUGGCGUAAUGAUGGCCAGGCUGUCUCCACCCGAGACUCAGUGAAAUUGAACUCGCUGUGAAGAUGCAGUGUACCCGCGGCAAGACGGAAAGACCCCGUGAACCUUUACUAUAGCUUGACACUGAACAUUGAGCCUUGAUGUGUAGGAUAGGUGGGAGGCUUUGAAGUGUGGACGCCAGUCUGCAUGGAGCCGACCUUGAAAUACCACCCUUUAAUGUUUGAUGUUCUAACGUGGACCCGUAAUCCGGGUUGCGGACAGUGUCUGGUGGGUAGUUUGACUGGGGCGGUCUCCUCCUAAAGAGUAACGGAGGAGCACGAAGGUUGGCUAAUCCUGGUCGGACAUCAGGAGGUUAGUGCAAUGGCAUAAGCCAGCUUGACUGCGAGCGUGACGGCGCGAGCAGGUGCGAAAGCAGGUCAUAGUGAUCCGGUGGUUCUGAAUGGAAGGGCCAUCGCUCAACGGAUAAAAGGUACUCCGGGGAUAACAGGCUGAUACCGCCCAAGAGUUCAUAUCGACGGCGGUGUUUGGCACCUCGAUGUCGGCUCAUCACAUCCUGGGGCUGAAGUAGGUCCCAAGGGUAUGGCUGUUCGCCAUUUAAAGUGGUACGCGAGCUGGGUUUAGAACGUCGUGAGACAGUUCGGUCCCUAUCUGCCGUGGGCGCUGGAGAACUGAGGGGGGCUGCUCCUAGUACGAGAGGACCGGAGUGGACGCAUCACUGGUGUUCGGGUUGUCAUGCCAAUGGCACUGCCCGGUAGCUAAAUGCGGAAGAGAUAAGUGCUGAAAGCAUCUAAGCACGAAACUUGCCCCGAGAUGAGUUCUCCCUGAGACUUAGAGUCUCCUGAAGGAACGUUGAAGACGACGACGUUGAUAGGCCGGGUGUGUAAGCGCAGCGAUGCGUUGAGCUAACCGGUACUAAUGAACCGUGAGG